GACGUAGGGCGCGAGCGUUGUCCGGAUUUAUUGGGCGUAAAGAGCUCGUAGGCGGCUUGUCGCGUCGACUGUGAAAACCCGAGGCUCAACUUCGGGCUGCAGUCGAUACGGGCAGGCUUGAGUUCGGUAGGGGAGACUGGAAUUCCUGGUGUAGCGGUGAAAUGCGCAGAUAUCAGGAGGAACACCGGUGGCGAAGGCGGGACUCUGGGCCGAUACUGACGCUGAGGAGCGAAAGCGUGGGGAGCGAACAGG
rnacentral:rRNA from 1 species